GUGAAAUUAUUACAUCUCAUAGAAUGUUCUGAUCGACGAAAUGAUCGAAAUGUUCGGAAAAUAUACGAUUUUAGUUGUUUAUUUCAAUCAUUUAAACAAGAUGGGGUUGAUGUGAUCAAGGGUCUGUAGAAGGUAUCGACUAUGAAAUUAGUGAAUAUAUACUGCACUGGAUAAACCGUUAUGCAUCUGCAAGUCUAUUAAAUCUAAGCUAACCAGAUGACCCUUUGAUAGUUUUAAAAUUAGGACAUACAAAUCGACUAUGUUGCAUAAGAAUUGAUAUUUUGUGAGAUACAGAAUUUUGAACCAAUAUUGGAAUGAUUUAAAAUCCGGCAUUUAAAAAGCUUAUGAUAAUGAAUUUAUGCUAAGGUAUGAAAACUGAUAUUCAUAUUCCUAGUGCUACUACCAUAGAUCAUACAACACAUCAACUAUGUUGGGGUGCCGCAAUGUUGGAUAAUACUGAGCAAUGUGAAUAUGAUGGAACCAGGGCCGGAUCUAUGGUGGGGAUGCCAGAGAUUUAAACCCGGGCCUAAAAUUAUCUCAAUUACUAAGGACAUGAAUAUUGUAAUCAUAGAUAUCCUGUUCCUGAAUAUUAUCAAUGCUCUGAUGGUCUAUGUAUACUAGCCAGUCAAAAGUGAUGAAGUGAAUGUGAUUCACGUUUUACUUGUGGAAUUGAUGACUUUUACGGUAAUGGGUUUUAUCAUUG